rnacentral:rRNA from 1 species
UACGUAGGGGGCGAGCGUUGUCCGAAGUUACUGGGCGUAAAGAGUGCGUAGGCGGCUUGACAAGUUGCACCUAAAAGGCGGCAGCUCAACUGACGAGUGCGGUGCAAGACUGUAAAGCUUGAGGCAAGCAGAAGAAUGUGGAACUCCGAGUGUAGCGGUGGAAUGCGUAGAGAUUCGGAAGAACACCCAUGGCGAAGGCAAGCAUUCUGGGCUUGGACCUGAC